rnacentral:rRNA from 1 species
AGACCCGAAACCCGGUGAUCUAGCCAUGGGCAGGUUGAAGGUUGGGUAACACUAACUGGAGGACCGAACCGACUAAUGUUGAAAAAUUAGCGGAUGACCUGUGGCUGGGGGUGAAAGGCCAAUCAAACCGGGAGAUAGCUGGUUCUCCCCGAAAGCUAUUUAGGUAGCGCCUCGUGAAUUCAUCUCCGGGGGUAGAGCACUGUUUCGGCUAGGGGGCCAUCCCGGCUUACCAACCCGAUGCAAACUGCGAAUACCGGAGAAUGUUAUCACGGGAGACACACGGCGGGUGCUAACGUCCGUCGUGAAGAGGGAAACAACCCAGACCGCCAGCUAAGGUCCCAAAGUCAUGGUUAAGUGGGAAACGAUGUGGGAAGGCCCAGACAGCCAGGAUGUUGGCUUAGAAGCAGCCAUCAUUUAAAGAAAGCGUAAUAGCUCACUGGUCGAGUCGGCCUGCGCGGAAGAUGUAACGGGGCUAAACCAUGCACCGAAGCUGCGGCAGCGACGUUUAUGCGUUGUUGGGUAGGGGAGCGUUCUGUAAGCCUGCGAAGGUGGCCUGUGAGGGUUGCUGGAGGUAUCAGAAGUGCGAAUGCUGACAUAAGUAACGAUAAAGCGGGUGAAAAGCCCGCUCGCCGGAAGACCAAGGGUUCCUGUCCAACGUUAAUCGGGGCAGGGUGAGUCGACCCCUAAGGCGAGGCCGAAAGGCGUAGUCGAUGGGAAACGGGUUAAUAUUCCCGUACUUGGUGUUACUGCGAAGGGGGGACGGAGAAGGCUAUGUUGGCCGGGCGACGGUUGUCCCGGUUUAAGCGUGUAGGUGUGUGUUCCAGGUAAAUCCGGUUCACUUUAACACUGAGGCGUGACGACGAGGCACUACGGUGCUGAAGCAACAAAUGCCCUGCUUCCAGGAAAAGCCUCUAAGCAUCAGGUAACAUCAAAUCGUACCCCAAACCGACACAGGUGGUCAGGUAGAGAAUACCAAGGCGCUUGAGAGAACUCGGGUGAAGGAACUAGGCAAAAUGGUGCCGUAACUUCGGGAGAAGGCACGCUGACACGUAGGUGAAGUGAUUUACUCAUGGAGCUGAAGUCAGUCGAAGAUACCAGCUGGCUGCAACUGUUUAUUAAAAACACAGCACUGUGCAAACACGAAAGUGGACGUAUACGGUGUGACGCCUGCCCGGUGCCGGAAGGUUAAUUGAUGGGGUCAGCGCAAGCGAAGCUCCUGAUCGAAGCCCCGGUAAACGGCGGCCGUAACUAUAACGGUCCUAAGGUAGCGAAAUUCCUUGUCGGGUAAGUUCCGACCUGCACGAAUGGCGUAAUGAUGGCCAGGCUGUCUCCACCCGAGACUCAGUGAAAUUGAACUCGCUGUGAAGAUGCAGUGUACCCGCGGCAAGACGGAAAGACCCCGUGAACCUUUACUAUAGCUUGACACUGAACAUUGAGCCUUGAUGUGUAGGAUAGGUGGGAGGCUUUGAAGUGUGGACGCCAGUCUGCAUGGAGCCGGCCUUGAAAUACCACCCUUUAAUGUUUGAUGUUCUAACGUGGACCCGUAA